AUUGAACGCUGGCGGCAGGCCUAACACAUGCAAGUCGAGCGGAUGAAGGGAGCUUGCUCCUGGAUUCAGCGGCGGACGGGUGAGUAAUGCCUAGGAAUCUGCCUGGUAGUGGGGGAUAACGUCCGGAAACGGGCGCUAAUACUGCAUACGUCCUGAGGGAGAAAGUGGGGGAUCUUCGGACCUCACGCUAUCAGAUGAGCCUAGGUCGGAUUAGCUAGUUGGUGGGGUAAAGGCCUACCAAGGCGACGAUCCGUAACUGGUCUGAGAGGAUGAUCAGUCACACUGGAACUGAGACACGGUCCAGACUCCUACGGGAGGCAGCAGUGGGGAAUAUUGGACAAUGGGCGAAAGCCUGAUCCAGCCAUGCCGCGUGUGUGAAGAAGGUCUUCGGAUUGUAAAGCACUUUAAGUUGGGAGGAAGGGCAGUAAGUUAAUACCUUGCUGUUUUGACGUUACCAACAGAGUAAGCACCGGCUAACUUCGUG
rnacentral:rRNA from 1 species